CAAACGCGGGGCAUCCCUCCUGUCCUGCCAGUUUGCAGGCCGUCUGAGCUCAGCUCAUUGAUUGAUUGAUUGGGUGAAAGGAUCAUGGAGAGGAUGCCAUCCAGUUGGAGAUAUGGUGUGAGCUGAAAAUCCCAGAGUAAAUGUCCUUUCCAGGACAGCAGAGACGAAAAGAGCUUUUCUGGCUGGGAGAUUCCAAGAAGGCUUUGUGAAGAAGGAGCAGCAUUAACCCGAGUUUCUCAGUGGGCUCAGACUUACAGGUGGAGAAGGGAAGGGGAUGCGGUGGGAGGAAUGGCAUGGGCAAAGGCCUUCAGUGAGAAAGCUGGGCACACAGCCGUAAAAUGGCUGUGAAUAGGCUGCUUUCCUAGAGCAAAGGGUAAGUGCGGUAAAACGGAAAGGGCGUUGUUCCCAAUUCCUG
rnacentral:lncRNA from 1 species